rnacentral:lncRNA from 1 species
ACAUAGAAGGCCAUUGUCUUUCGAUUUGAACCUUUUCUGGAGAAAACAUAGAGGGCUCUCCUAGUCCUUGAGGAAGAGCCUUUGGGUUUCUUUUCCCUCAUCUGAGCCUUUGUCAUCUGUGCAACGUCUUGUUUUACUUGCCUUGUACCAGUACCUGGGCUAGCUUUUGUAUGCCUUUUUAUUUUUCUUUUUGAACCAGUAACCUUGUAAAAAGAUGAUCUACCAAAUGAAAAUGCUCAUUUCUUCAGGAAAAACUAUUAACUCCAUCUUCAUCUAUUUUUAUAGAAAUACAAAAUGGUUGGUUUAGCAUGGAGGGGAUAUUUUUGAAGAUGUAAUUUUUUUUUUAAUGUUGUAACAGUCGUUGAGUUCUGUUUAAAGAACUUGCUCUCAGAAAAGCACUGGCCAAAAUGCUGAAGCGCUGAUCCAUCUUUAGAGUCUGUGAUGCGCUGUGUCUGUGCUUCCGAGGGUACCUCAAGGGUUUCAUCCUUCCUCCAACAGUGGCACUGCCGUAGACAAACCCUGCAACAUUGUGUUCAUGUUGAAACUCAGUGAAGACUUAAUUCGAUGAUAGCUCUCUUAGUUUGCUGUUAUAUAUGUCUGUGCAUCUUGAAAGGGGCAUUUUCCUUUAAAGGGACACAAAGGGAAGGGGACUUCUCCGAAAUAGUUCUUGGAGGUUGACUAACAAGAAAAAAAUUGGUUAAUGAACAAUACUUCUCUAUAUAGUCCAGCUUAUCUUAACAUUUAGGUGGAGAGCUUACACAUGGCUUCAAAAUAGGGAAAAAAAAAUCAAUGCAUUUAGCCAUGAUAACUGUGGACAUCACGGCUGAAUUUUCCUAAUUUCUAACCAUUCGUUCAUGGAUGACUUUGGAUGACUGUGUUUUCUGAAUACAAAUGAGUAGUAUCAGGAAAGGAAGGAGACACGUGUCAAAAUGCUGACUGUUCCUCAUCUUUGUAAAAGUGAUGUAUUCUUUAUGCAAUGUUUUCACUUGAUCAUUUUUGCAAGAUUUUCAUUUGCUUUUAAGUGUAAUUAGUUUCUAAAAAAUUAGAGCAAAAUAAAAGUGGUAAUGGAUUUAAGUUUAUGCUUCAAUUACACAAACUGGUUGAAAGACUCAAAGCUUGAGAAAUGAACUUAACAUGGCCCACAAGAUAAAAAAAAUGAAGUUGGAAUUAACUUUAAGAGAAAAUUGGACAAAGUUUGGGAUUAUGAAGGUAGCGAUGAGUGGCAAGUCAAAGACACAACCUAUUUUUUCCUUUUAGUUGCUCCCAGCCACACAGGGCAUUAGUGUAGUAUAGAUGCUUUUAUUUAAUAAUGUUUCUCAAAUUCUUCCAUUCUUCUCAGGCCACACAAAACAGAAGGUUAAGUCACGUGCUAUGUUCUGUUUUUAAUUGUGAACUUCAUGGGUGAGAAUAUUUUACACAUUAACAACACAACAAGCAGCUACACAGAAUUCUCACAACUCAUUUCCAAACAUUUCACUUGGCUGUAUCUUAGACAUUCGUUUCUCUUCCUGCUGUGUUUUGAAUUAUAAACCCACUUCAUCUCUUGUAGUCACAGACUCCCAUCAUUUUUUUCAUCUUGAUUUUUCUUUAACACAGUCUUCACAUUUUUAUCAAUAUAAUCUAGACUUAAGGAAGCUCCCACUCACCAGUUUAGGAACUUUAGCAUCCAGAUAAUGGGCCUCAUUAAAUUCUGUGCAUAUUUAUCUGGAUUUUGAUAACAUAUAAAGUUGUUUUAUUUGUUAUCUGUAUCUGCAUAAAUAUGUGGAGCAUAGAGUUGAAUGAAUCUAUCAAAUUCAUGAUGUCUUGAGUCUUCUUAAGUUGUAAGAAUUGAGUACUUAGCAACUCUCAUGAGGGAAACACUUUGGCUGUUGUCACAUCCUUCCUUGAGAUAUAUUAACUUGCAUUGCCGUGUCUCUUAGAACAGUACCACACUUCCAAUCACUGAGCUCACUCCAUUAAUUUUUUCCAGAUAAGGGAGGAUAAGAGGACUAACUUGUUUUCUUUCCUUAUUUACCAUCAUUCUGGAUUGAAAAUGAAAGUAGUUAAUUUCGUGGUUUUGCUGUGAUAUCCUUGUAACUAUGGCCAAAACAUGAUUUGGUUCAAGAUCAAAGGAAAGUGAAGAAUCUGAAUUCUAUUGCAUGCAACAUGCAACAUGCUCUCUCUUUAAGAACAGGCAUAGGUAUCAGUGGCACAUUGUCAUCAAAGGAGGAGACCAAAAUCUAAUAAAAGGAAAAAGAAC